UACGGGGGGGGGGCAAGCGUUGUUCGGAAUUACUGGGCGUAAAGGGCUCGUAGGCGGCCAACUAAGUCAGACGUGAAAUCCCUCGGCUUAACCGGGGAACUGCGUCUGAUACUGGAUGGCUUGAGGUUGGGAGAGGGAUGCGGAAUUCCAGGUGUAGCGGUGAAAUGCGUAGAUAUCUGGAGGAACACCGGUGGCGAAGGCGGCAUCCUGGACCAAUUCUGACGCUGAGGAGCGAAAGCUAGGGGAGCAAACGGG
rnacentral:rRNA from 1 species